AGAGUUUGAUCCUGGCUCAGAAUUAACGCUGGCGGCAUGCCUAACACAUGCAAGUCGUACGAGAAAGCCCGGUUCGCCGGGCGAGUAAAGUGGCGCACGGGUGAGUAACGCGUGGGUAAUCUACCUCGGUCCGGGGGAUAAGCCACCGAAAGGUGGUCUAAUACCGCAUAACCCGGCGAAUCUUCGGAUUUGCCGGCAAAGGUGGCCUCUCCAUGGAAGCUACCGGAUAGAGAUGAGCCCGCGUCCCAUUAGCUAGUUGGUAGGGUAAAGGCCUACCAAGGCGACGAUGGGUAGCUGGUCUGAGAGGACGAUCAGCCACACUGGAACUGGAACACGGUCCAGACUCCUACGGGAGGCAGCAGUGAGGAAUAUUGCGCAAUGGGGGAAACCCUGACGCAGCGAUGCCGCGUGGGUGAAGAAGGCCUUCGGGUCGUAAAGCCCUGUCAGAUGGGAAGAAUAGUCUGGGGACGAAUAAUCCUCAGGCAUGACGGUACCAUCGAAGGAAGCACCGGCUAACUCCGUGCCAGCAGCCGCGGUAAGACGGAGGGUGCGAGCGUUAUUCGGAAUUAUUGGGCGUAAAGGGUGUGCAGGCGGUCGGUCAAGUCAGAUGUGAAAGCCCAGGGCUCAACCCUGGAAGUGCAUUUGAAACUGGUCGACUUGAGUUCGGGAGAGGGAAGCGGAAUUCCGGGUGUAGAGGUGAAAUUCGUAGAUAUCCGGAGGAACACCGGUGGCGAAGGCGGCUUCCUGGACCGAAACUGACGCUGAGACACGAAAGCGUGGGGAGCAAACAGGAUUAGAUACCCUGGUAGUCC
rnacentral:rRNA from 1 species